UACGAAGGGGGCUAGCGUUGUUCGGAAUUACUGGGCGUAAAGGGCGCGUAGGCGGUACUUCAAGUCAGGCGUGAAAGCCCCGGGCUCAACCUGGGAACCGCGCUUGAGACUGGAGAACUAGAGUUCGGGAGAGGAUGGUGGAAUUCCCAGUGUGAGAGGUGAAAUUCGUAGAUAUUGGGAAGAACACGAUGGCGAAGGCAGCCAUCUGGACCGACACUGACGCUGAGGCGCGAAAGCGUGGGGAGCAA
rnacentral:rRNA from 1 species